UUGUAACACUUUAACAGCUGAAAGUAAACAGUUGUAAACAGAUAAAAAUACUUCUUAAUGUUGUUAUUCAACAGAAAAUAAGGAGCUGGCUCUUAUUUCUUUCUUGACUAAGAGAAAAGUCAUGAAUUUAAACUGGUGGUCCACACUGACGAAGCUCAAGGUUGAAUAACCAAAAGCAGAAACCUGCAAUUUACAUGAUGAAGGUCGAUAAGUUAUCAACGAUUCCAGAAGAGAUCAAUGGAUAUAAGAAAUGUGCCGACCCAUGGUUUAGAUAGUGUUAGUCCUACAUAACUGCAGCUGGAAACAGCUACCAAAAAUCCUUCAAUUUAUAAUAUACAGUCUUAAAGAAAAUAAAGAUGCUAAAGUAUUAUCAAA